rnacentral:rRNA from 1 species
UUUGUGGAGGGUUCGAUUCUGGCUCAGGAUGAACGCUGGCGGCGUGCUUAACACAUGCAAGUCGAACGGGAUCCAUCAGGCUUUGCUUGGUGGUGAGAGUGGCGAACGGGUGAGUAAUGCGUGACCGACCUGCCCCAUACACCGGAAUAGCUCCUGGAAACGGGUGGUAAUGCCGGAUGCUCCGACUCCUCGCAUGGGGUGUCGGGAAAGAUUAUAUCGGUAUGGGAUGGGGUCGCGUCCUAUCAGGUAGUCGGCGGGGUAACGGCCCACCGAGCCUACGACGGGUAGCCGGCCUGAGAGGGCGACCGGCCACAUUGGGACUGAGAUACGGCCCAGACUCCUACGGGAGGCAGCAGUGGGGAAUAUUGCACAAUGGGCGCAAGCCUGAUGCAGCGACGCCGCGUGCGGGAUGACGGCCUUCGGGUUGUAAACCGCUUUUGAUCGGGAGCAAGCCUUCGGGUGAGUGUACCUUUCGAAUAAGCACCGGCUAACUACGUGCCAGCAGCCGCGGUAAUACGUAGGGUGCAAGCGUUAUCCGGAAUUAUUGGGCGUAAAGGGCUCGUAGGCGGUUCGUCGCGUCCGGUGUGAAAGUCCAUCGCUUAACGGUGGAUCUGCGCCGGGUACGGGCGGGCUGGAGUGCGGUAGGGGAGACUGGAAUUCCCGGUGUAACGGUGGAAUGUGUAGAUAUCGGGAAGAACACCAAUGGCGAAGGCAGGUCUCUGGGCCGUUACUGACGCUGAGGAGCGAAAGCGUGGGGAGCGAACAGGAUUAGAUACCCUGGUAGUCCACGCCGUAAACGGUGGAUGCUGGAUGUGGGGCCCGUUCCACGGGUUCCGUGUCGGAGCUAACGCGUUAAGCAUCCCGCCUGGGGAGUACGGCCGCAAGGCUAAAACUCAAAGAAAUUGACGGGGGCCCGCACAAGCGGCGGAGCAUGCGGAUUAAUUCGAUGCAACGCGAAGAACCUUACCUGGGCUUGACAUGUUCCCGACAGCCGUAGAGAUAUGGCCUCCCUUCGGGGCGGGUUCACAGGUGGUGCAUGGUCGUCGUCAGCUCGUGUCGUGAGAUGUUGGGUUAAGUCCCGCAACGAGCGCAACCCUCGCCCUGUGUUGCCAGCACGUCAUGGUGGGAACUCACGGGGGACCGCCGGGGUCAACUCGGAGGAAGGUGGGGAUGACGUCAGAUCAUCAUGCCCCUUACGUCCAGGGCUUCACGCAUGCUACAAUGGCCGGUACAACGGGAUGCGACACGGCGACGUGGAGCGGAUCCCUGAAAACCGGUCUCAGUUCGGAUUGGAGUCUGCAACCCGACUCCAUGAAGGCGGAGUCGCUAGUAAUCGCGGAUCAGCAACGCCGCGGUGAAUGCGUUCCCGGGCCUUGUACACACCGCCCGUCAAGUCAUGAAAGUGGGUAGCACCCGAAGCCGGUGGCCUAACCCCUUGUGGGAUGGAGCCGUCUAAGGUGAGACUCGUGAUUGGGACUAAGUCGUAACAAGGUAGCCGUACCGGAAGGUGCGGCUGGAUCACCUCCUUU